rnacentral:tRNA from 1 species
UGCUUGGGUAGCUCAGUUGGUAGAGCAGUUGCCCGGGAAAGGCAAAGGUCCCGAGUUCGAGUCUCGGUCCGGCAC